UACAGAGGUGGCGAGGGUUGUUCGGAAUUACUGGGUGUAAAGGGCGCGUAGGCGGCCUGUUAAGUCCCGUGUGAAAUCCCUCGGCUCAACCGAGGAACUGCACGGGAAACUGGCGGGGUUGAGUUCGGGAGAGGGAAGCGGAAUUCCGGGUGUAGCGGUGAAAUGCGUAGAUAUCCGGAGGAACACCGGUGGCGAAGGCGGCUUCCUGGACCGACACUGACGCUGAGGAGCGAAAGCUAGGGGAGCAAACGGG
rnacentral:rRNA from 1 species